GCCACAUAUUUUCACAAACGACAGGAAUUCGCAGACAGGAAAAGAGGUGGCAGAAUGUGUUACGUGGGUUAUGUUUUACUUUGCUGAGAAAUGAGCUGGGGAUGUCCGGACUCUAUGACCUCUUUCUUCAGUGGAGACACAAACUAGCAACUAUCAAUGAGAAUGAUCUGAAGUCUAGCAGAAAAGAUCUUCUACAACUGAAGAUAAAGGAGGAGCCACAACAAGAUCAGUAGGAGCGGCGGAGAUGCCAUAUAGUCAAGACCCACAUCUCUAGAACUAGUAGAGCACUUCAGAAAAUGAGAAACUCUGAGAAGUCACAUAUAACUUGGUGUCCUGUGCACCAAAGAAGAGAGGACAGGAAAGUCACCAUGUUUGAAAAAUCGGGCUCAGGAACUCAGUUAUAAAGCUUUAAAUAAUUAAACAACACAAG